rnacentral:rRNA from 1 species
CCUACGGGUGGCAGCAGUGGGGAAUAUUGGGCAAUGGGCGCAAGCCUGACCCAGCAACGCCGCGUGAAGGAAGAAAGCCCUCGGGUUGGAAACUUCUUUUAUUCGGGAAGAAAAAAAUGACGGUACCGCAUGAAUAAGCCACGGCUAACUACGUGGCAGCAGCCGCGGCAAUACGUAGGUGGCAAGCGUUAUUCGGAUUUACUGGGUGUAAAGGGCGUGUAGGCGGGAGAGUAAGUCAGACGUGAAAUUCCAGGGCUCAACCCUGGUAAGGCGUUUGAAACUGUUCUUCUUGAGUGAUGGAGAGGCAGGCGGAAUUCCGGGUGUAGCGGUGAAAUGCGUAGAUAUAAGGAGGAACACCAGUGGCGAAGGCGGCCUGCUGGACAUUAACUGACGCUGAGGCGCGAAAGCGUGGGGAGCAAACAGGAUUAGAUACCCCAGUAGUC